rnacentral:rRNA from 1 species
GACGAACGCUGGCGGCGUGCCUAAUACAUGCAAGUCGAGCGAAGUUUUUCUGGUGCUUGCACCGGAAAAACUUAGCGGCGAACGGGUGAGUAACACGUAAAGAACCUGCCUUAUAGACUGGGACAACUAUUGGAAACGAUAGCUAAUACCGGAUAACAGCAUUAACUGCAUGGUUGAUGUUUGAAAGUUGGUUUUGCUAACACUAUGAGAUGGCUUUGCGGUGCAUUAGCUAGUUGGUGGGGUAAAGGCCUACCAAGGCGACGAUGCAUAGCCGACCUGAGAGGGUGAUCGGCCACACUGGGACUGAGACACGGCCCAGACUCCUACGGGAGGCAGCAGUAGGGAAUCUUCCGCAAUGGGCGAAAGCCUGACGGAGCAACGCCGCGUGAGUGAAGAAGGAUUUCGGUUCGUAAAGCUCUGUUGUUAGGGAAGAAUGAUUGUGUAGUAACUAUACACAGUAGAGACGGUACCUAACCAGAAAGCCACGGCUAACUACGU